rnacentral:rRNA from 1 species
UUUUUAGNCCUUCCUGGAGGAGCUUGCUAUCUAACCGAUAAUCCACGUUUUACCUCACCAACUUUUGUACAUCAGCCUGUAUACCAUCGUCGUCAGUUUACCUCUCAAGAGAAGUACACAAAAAGGAUCCCCCCCCCCUCACGCCAGAUCGAGGGGCAGCUAAUAGGUUGGGGAUCAGUGAGCUACAACACUUCAACAAACAAAAGAACUACAUAAAUAAAACUAUAAAUGGGUCUCCGAAAAACACCCUGAAACAGGAUUCAGAAGUAAUAAUUACUAGAAAAUAACUAUGAACACUAAGCUCUAAAAUGCGC